ensembl:lncRNA
UUUGGUUGGUUUGAAGGGUUACCCCAUACAAGAUGGAUUAGAAUUCUUUAUUUUGACUCCAGGAGGUUGGAUAAUAGCACCUGCUUCCCAGGGCUGUUGUGAGGACCAGACGAGUAAAAUCCUUGCAAAGUACUUAGCCCUGCCUAGAACACAUCGAGCUUCACGUAAACGUCAGCUCUGAGUUUCAUUGAGCCCAUAUACCAGACGACCGGCAUUCCCCAGGCCCAGCCAAACGCUCUCCAUGUCUCCUGGUUUCCCUCGGGUCAGUCUCUUUGGCAGACGAAACAAAGCAAACACAGCCUUCCCCUGGCCUGCGUCCCCUUGACCUCUCCUGCUGCCCUGGGCCCACUCCUGUCCUACUCCUCCUGGAAGCAGCCCCAGGGGUCUGAGCCAGUGCUUUGGGCAUCCAGCCCCUGCCCAUGGUUUCCCUACUCUGAGCCUUGGCUUCCCUGCGUGUUUGCGUCACUUCGUGCGUGAAGAUGCCGGCGCACAGGAAGCAUUUCAUUAGAGCCGCGGCCUGUUGUGAUUGGUUGCCGGAGUGGGAGAGACUGGGGGCUGGACUAGCCUCGGAGGAGCCCCAGGGCCCCCGACGUCUGAGACCCCACGCCUGGUGACUCUCCGUGGGCUCUGGGGCUGUGAAGACCACGCACGAGGUAAAGGGAGGAGCGGAGGGGCCGGGCUCCUGGAAGGAAGGGCGGGGAAGGCAGCACCACAUUCCAGGCAUGCGCAGAAGGCGCUCACCCUCCAGACUACGAUUCCCAGACGGCCGUGCUCGCCUCCGGGACAUUUUCCCAGCCUCAAGGGCGGGAGGACUAGAGUUCCGUCUAACUACGACACUUCCUUUUCUCUCUCCCUCUUCCACGUUUGCUGUUUCCCGCUUCCCCUUUUCUGCCCUGGGCUGAAGUGUGACGGGUACAGAAGUGGGAACGUCUGGUCUGAGCAGGGCGGACACCCAGCGUGACCCCUCACUCUCCUGCUUCUCCUCUCCUCCCCCCUCUGCCUUCUGUGGCCUCUGCUCUUGCCCAAGGAGAACAGCCGGGAGGAAGAGGGAAUGGCUUCUGCCCUGACAGCCAGGCCCGGGAAGGUGAGUGCCACUUGCUGCUUUCCUCAAGUAGCAUCUCGGGCCAGAGACCGUAGGAUAGGUUACUUUGUCCUGUGCUGUAACACUAGAAAUCGUGGCCAUCAGAGAAUCAUAUAACCACACAUGCCAAUUUAUCCUCUCCACACAUAAAAAAAGACCUUACAUUUAUUUUGUUUUAAGAAAUUUUGGGUUCUAAAUUCUUUCACUCCCUUCUAUCCUUCCCCUACCCAUUGAGAAGGCAAACAAUAGGACGCCCAUAUUGUACAUGAAGUAAUGCAAAACAUUUCCAUAUUGGCUGUGGUCCCAAAAAAAAGUGCAAGAAAAAUGAAAUUGAAAAGGAAUAUGCUUCAGUCUACAUUCAGAGUUCUUCAGUUGUAGUCAUAUUUUAUAAUUAGUCCUUUGGAAUUAUUUUUUAUUUUUUUUAUUUUAGGCAAUUGGGAUUAAGUGACUUGCCCAGGGUCACACAGCUAGUGUCAAGGGUUUGGUCUGAGGUCAGAUUUGAACUCAGGUCCUUCUUGCUCUAUCCACUGUGCCACCUAGCUGCCAGUCCUUUGGAAUUUUCAUGGAGCUGUUUAAAAAUAUAGAGAAAGAAAGGCUCCUCCCAAAUUCCUUCUGCAAACCAAGAUGAUGUUACCCAAAGCAGGGAAAGGUGACAGCACCGUUUCAUCACGGUACAUUGUGAGAUUGGGCUUAUAUUUGGCCUUGAUAUUUGGUUCAAAAUUAAGAAAACUAUUGACAUAAGAGACUAUAUUAAUAAUAUAAACAGGAAAAAGAAUAUGUUUAUAUCAGUAGAUGCAGACAAGGCUUUUGACAAGAUACACCUAUACCUCUUAAAAAUUUAAAACAUAGAAAUAAAGGAAAAUUAAGGUUCUCUGAGGUUCUUCCU